ACGGUUAUAAAUCAACAUAUUGAUUUAUAAGCAUGGAAAUCCCCUGAGUGAAACAACGAAUUGCUGUGUGUAGUCUUUGCUCAUCUCCCACGAUGGGCUUUUUUUUAA
rnacentral:other from 1 species